GGGGGGCUGACGUUUCCUCCGUGCGCCCAGGUGAUCGGGGACCUGAUGCAGAGGAUCCAGCGCGUGCCCCACUUCAGGGCCAAGCUGCUCCUGGUGCGCCGGCAGCUGCUGGGGCUGGUACCCGGCGAGCAGCUGGAGCACGCGACGCUCUUCAAGGGGGUGGUGGUGCUGGAGGAGUUCUGCAAGGAGCUGGCUGCCAUCGCCUUGGUCAAGGGCCCCCCCGAGGGCCCCCCCUGAGCUGCUGUGCCCCGGACCCCGCCAGGAGCCCCCUUCCCUCGGCCGGGCUGCGGGGGCUGCCUGGGGACGGAUGGAGAGGGGUCCCCGACCCCGGCACGGCCCCGCUCGGAGCGGCGCGACCCCAAAAUGGGCACGGUGACGGCACCCCCCGGCCCCGUGGUGUGGGAGAGGAUUUGUGGAGUCCUUGGGAAGCGGCGGUGCGCUGAGCCCCGGGCAGGAUGCGGCCCUUCGGGGCACGGCGUGCACCCUGCUGCUCGUCCUUGUCCUCGUCGGGUUCCUGCUCCCCCCGUCAGAGCUGCCCAGGACCCCCCCGCAGCCCUCGGUGGUUUUUUUUUUGGCAAGAUCUGGCUGCACAAGCCCGGCUCCCCGAGGGGCGGCCGGCUAACGAGGCGGGUGCUGGCCCCAGGGCUAAUUACAGCCCCUCGUUUGCAUUAGGGGCAGGGUGUGCGUGGGGGCGCGGGGUUUGUGCGCACCAAGCUGAGCGCAGCCGGCACCGCGUCCCCGAGCCAUGGGACACAAUAAAGCCCUGAGCUGGGA